AUUGAACGCUGGCGGCAUACUUUACACAUGCAAGUCGAACGGUAACAGGCCUUCGGGUGCUGACGAGUGGCGAACGGGUGAGUAAUGCAUCGGAACGUGCCCAGAGGUGGGGGAUAACGCAGCGAAAGCUGUGCUAAUACCGCAUGUGAUCUGAGGAUGAAAGCGGGGGACCAGGCAGCAAUGUUUGGCCUCGCGCCUUUGGAGCGGCCGAUGUCAGAUUAGGUAGUUGGUGGGGUAAAGGCCUACCAAGCCGACGAUCUGUAGCUGGUCUGAGAGGACGACCAGCCACACUGGGACUGAGACACGGCCCAGACUCCUACGGGAGGCAGCAGUGGGGAAUUUUGGACAAUGGGCGCAAGCCUGAUCCAGCAAUGCCGCGUGCGGGAAGAAGGCCUUCGGGUUGUAAACCGCUUUUGUACGGAACGAAAAGGCUCUGGCUAAUACCUGGGGCUGAUGACGGUACUGUAAGAAUAAGCACCGGCUAACUACGUG
rnacentral:rRNA from 1 species